AAACUCCAGGCUCGUCACUCCGCAGUGAAGCUUCAUCAGCCUCAACUCAAAGCCCUCCUCUCCUCGUCGUCGACAGCGAAAGUAGAAAACCCUUAAAGAAAAAUGGCCGCCGCUAUCCAAGCUCUGCUCGUCCUGGCCCUCCUUCACCUCGCCACUGCGACGCCUGUCAUUGGCAAGCAGACAGUGAGCACUUUGUCUACGGGAUAUCUGGGCCACCCUGUGGUGGGAGGCCUGGGCUAUGGAGGCCUUGGCUAUGGAGGCCUGGGCUAUGGAGGUCUGGGCGUUGCUGGUCUGGGCGUUGCUGGUCUAGGCUAUGGUGGUCUAGGCUAUCCCGGAGCGGCUCUUGGAGGAGUCUACACGCACCAUGCAGCUGGGCUCGUUCACCCUUACGGUGGGCUCGGAUACCAUGCGGCCCCCUAUCACAGCGCCCUCGGCGGACUCGGCUACCCCCUGGGCCUUGGCGCCGGUGUUGUGGCUCCCCACGUGGUGAAGGGCAAAAUCGCUGCCCCGUUGGCGCCUUUUGUUGGUGCCAUCUAGGUCAUCACCGUGGCAGGAGAAUUGCUAGGCGAUCGUUGGCCUGCCGCACCCAGCCCUGCGUCCCCAUCUGCAGUCACUUCAACCAGAAGUGGUGUCUGCGGAAGCGACCCAAGGCUCCGGUGAAGAAGUCACUUGACGAACGUUAUGGACAACCGCCGCCAACCACCACCCACAAACAGGGGCAUAGGUUCACCACCUACUCCCCUUCCCAUACCUGCCCGUUCAUGCCGACUGACCCACCCAUCCUACCCAAGUCCUUGACUCUCACACAAAUUCUUAUCAUCGGCGUGAUGGUUUAUUUUCGCCGUUCGUUAAGUUCCUGACUCCACCUAAUCCUAUGCCAACUUGGUGAAAAUCAAGCCCUUGAGUGCGUGAGUGAGUAUACGAGCGUGUGUCAGAGUGAGUGUGCGACGCUAAUGAGUAGGCGGGUGUGCCGGCGUCUGUCCGUAACGUUUUUCUGAUCUUCUCGGCAUUAACACAAACGACGAUGAAUUAACACGACCUGGAAAAAACUAAAUAUACCACGAAUAGCCAAAAAUUUAAUACAUAUUUUAAAACGAACCCUGGCAUUAAUCUUAAAAAAAAAUAAUCUAAAUCUGGUGUUGAGGGGAGCACGCACACUGCCUCUGAUUCUUCAAUCAGGGGGAGUGAAUCAACCGGGCGGCUGAAAUUACACUUUGAUAAAAGCUGUUAACGUUAACGAAAAGAUACAUAUAUCUGUAAAAAAAAAUAAUUAUAAUGGAACUUGUAAUUAACCAACAAGAAUUCAGCUGGAUUGGAAUGGUGGGUGCAAUGCCGACGGGCGUUUGAUUCACGGAAAAAAAUGUUCAUACACGAACAAUAUCUGGCAUCAUUUUACGGCAAGUCGAUACCAUCACGGUGGAAAAACCUUAGGCCUAAUUCACGAUGUUACCACCGUUUAACACGGGGUCACCUUAGCGCAGCAGUUACUCUCAGCUGUAAGCCCCGGCUUCCCAAAUCCCCCGAUCUCCAUGUGUGCCCCCCUUCUCCCCGCACUGAGUGUAUGCCUAUCGUUAUUUAGUUCUCGUCAGAUCCAGAGUUUUCUUUUAAUCGGGUCUAAAAGUGAGCACACGUUAAAGAUUCUACCCCAAGAAUUCGAGAUUGUUGCGGGUCAAAGGUCCGGUCGACUUUGGCCACCAAAAACGUUUGAUAGUGGUCUGGUUGAAAUUUUGUGCGUCUGCUAACGCCAAGUGUUACUAACAGCUCCCGUUGUGAGUUCACUCACGCUUACAAUUUCAUUGGCCGGGGAACUCAAUAACGGAUGUUGUUAUGUAACGAGUGGCUUCACGAUUGAAUUACUUGGCCGAUGAGAUAGGACAGGUGUAUGUGUGAUAGUUUGUGAAAGGUUGUUAAGUCCUGGAUGGAUCGGACGCGACUUGGGUGGAUAUAUUCUGUGCAACGUCUUUUUUUCUGUGUUCCCGAUUAAAAUAAAAAAAAUCUGUACUCGCCGCC